rnacentral:rRNA from 1 species
GAUGAACGCUAGCGGCAGGCCUAAUACAUGCAAGUCGAAACGGUAGACUACUUUCGGGUAGUUGAGAGUGGCGCACGGGUGCGUAACGCGUAUGCAACCUACCUUGUACAGGGGGGAUAGCCCGGAGAAAUUCGGAUUAAUACCCCAUGGCAUUAUCAGAUGGCAUCUGAAGAUAAUUAAAGAUUUAUCGGUACAAGAUGGGCAUGCGUGACAUUAGUUAGUUGGUAAGGUAACGGCUUACCAAGACUAUGAUGUCUAGGGGUUCUGAGAGGAUGAUCCCCCACACUGGUACUGAGAUACGGACCAGACUCCUACGGGAGGCAGCAGUAGGGAAUAUUGGUCAAUGGGCGAGAGCCUGAACCAGCCAUGCCGCGUGCAGGAAGACGGCCUUCUGGGUUGUAAACUGCUUUUCUACGGGAAGAAAAUGCCCUUGCGAGGGAAAUUGCCGGUACCGUAGGAAUAAGCACCGGCUAACUCCGUG